rnacentral:rRNA from 1 species
AGAGUUUGAUCAUGGCUCAGAAUGAACGCUGGCGGCGUGCUUAACACAUGCAAGUCGAGCGAGGCCAGGGGGGCAACUCCCUGAGUCGAGCGGCGGACGGGUGAGUAACACGUGGGCAAUCUGCCCGAAAGUGGGGAAUACCCCAGGGAAACUUGGGCUAAUACCGCAUGUGAUCGCGAUCUCGAGAGAGGAUGCGAUCAAAGGGGGGCCGCAAGGUCUCUCGCUUUCGGAGGAGCCCGCGCCCGAUUAGCUAGUUGGCGGGGUAACGGCCCACCAAGGCUUCGAUCGGUAGCCGGCCUGAGAGGGUGAUCGGCCACACCGGAACUGAGACACGGUCCGGACUCCUACGGGAGGCAGCAGUGGGGAAUCUUGCGCAAUGGGCGAAAGCCUGACGCAGCAACGCCGCGUGGAGGAUGAAGGUCCUUGGAUUGUAAACUCCUGUCGGCCGGGAAGAAGUUCAUCGGGGCUCAUACCCUCGGUGAUUGACUGUACCGGCAAAGGAAGCCCGGCUAACUCUGUGCCAGCAGCCGCGGUA